CAACAAAAUUAUAUUAUAUAAUCAUACUAAAUUUUACUUCAUAAUAAUUUCAAAAUUUCUUCAACCAGAUUACAUCGUUACAAGUAACCAAUGUUACGUUUGUAAAUAGCAGAACUUUCUGCAAAUCCGACAAAUCUAGUCGGAAAUGAUCAACUAGCGGAUACCCUGAACUUUCCUUUAACAACAUUAAAUGCAGCUACGCGCUCGUUACUUCACUGUAACUGUGACUGAGGGUUCAGGGCAUAAAAAUUGGUGUUAAGAAUAGACAGCUAGAAGGAAGAUUCAAUGAAUUGAGUAAAAAGGCAUUCUGUGGUUUCAGUGAUGCCGACCAAAUACCAAAAACAGAAGUUGUUGGGGCACAGUGAGGCACAAUGAAUUCAAAAAUCACCUAGAGGGCCUACACUUGAUUUAUUGCUGAAGGAGCGAAGCCGUUGUCAUAAAUCCUGAAUAUCAAAGUUGCCUCAAUAUACAUUUCCGCCGUUCGACAAUGGUUUCUUUUACAACAAGGCGAAUAAUGCUGACCAAGUGUCUCCUCUUUAGGUCUCAUGCUGUCCUAAUCCCAAUUUUCAAUCACAAGCUACAACUCAGCGCUUCAGUUCGACUAGUUUCAACUUAGUUAGAUUCAACUCACUUUUAAGCAGUGCGUUGAUCACCAACUUUCAGGUCAAGCUCUUUUAAAUACAUGUAUUUCUUUGUGAACACGUA